rnacentral:lncRNA from 1 species
GAAUAUUGCAUUCUUGAUUCUUUGACAAUCCGCAAUUACAAAUGUUGCAUAACUUUGAAGGAAAGCAUCGUUUUACAAAGCAUUGAUAUACCACCUUUUAAAGAGGUGCACAAAAAAUCGAAUUCAUCUGAUUUCGGUAUUUUUUUUUUUUUUUUAAAUCCAGUUUUCAAAUGAUCGGAUUUCGGAUAAUCUAGGUUGCAUUUUGGGUGGGUACUACUAGAUCCAGUGUAAGUGGAUUCAAAUCCGUUAAAAACCAGGUAAUCAUUAAAACAAACACAUGCUUUCAUAUCGGUUAAAAAAUGCAUUUUCAACAACAUACAAAUAAUCGUAAAAGCAAUCACGUAUUUUCGUUGAUUCGGGAGUGAGUCUUGACUUUCAUUUCGAAAUAAUCAUGUCACUAAGAGAAAAAAAUGAAUUUUGAAGCUACAGUAGAUGCUUUGACAUUUGGGAAAUCAUAGGUCAUAGUGUCUGGAAUCGAAAAUUAUUGUUCAUUUUUUUCGUCCAACCCAAAAUAUCUAGAUUUUUUAAUUCUUCAACAAUAAAACAGGAUAAAAAAAAAUGAUGUCACGUAAUUUCCCUAUUUCCUAUUUGGGGCAGAUCGUGUUUUAGUAUAUUUUAAUAAAGUAUUAUAAAACUGGUAAUUAGCAUAUUUGGUCACAUCUAUAUGAUUCCCCACCAGUCCCCUUCUCUUAUGAGUUAUGAUCAAUUGUUAGAUUGCUUUGUUGAACACAUUUGCUUAAAUAUAUGGUUAUACAUGAAUAUUGGUAAAUGGGAGCACAAGUAAAAAAACCAAAGAUAACUUCAUAAAACAUUUUAAAAUUUAGUAUUUUGUUUGAUUAAUAAUAUUAAAUUUUAAUUUAAUUUAAUUUUUAAAAAAAAUGUAGCAACUCAAAUUCCUUUACUUUUUUCUGUCAUUAAAAGUAUGUGAUUGAGAACUAAGGCCACUGGCAUGGAGUAAACACCCUAUAAAUAAGCUGUUGCUUCUUUAAAAUGAUCAACAUAUUUCAUAAAAUCCUGAUUACAUUUCAGUCCUCAUCAGGAUUGCAAUGGCUUUGUCUUCUACUAGCAAAAUCAUGAAAAGGUUUUAGCAUGGUUUUUUAUCAUAACAGGGUUUCAAACAUAAAAUAAUCAUUUAUGUCUAUUAAAUUCGGUAAAAAGGGUAACAAUAGUAAUAUAAGGAAAAAAAAUCAAAAACAAUUACUUUAUACUGGUUACCCAAAUUGCUUGCAUUUCAACAUAUCAUGAUUGUUUUUAACAUCACUUUAUUAUUUUCGUUUUCUUUUUAUUUAUUUUAUAUUUGGCCUAAUUAUCUGUAGCUGAAAGGAAAAAAAAAUAUCCAACUUUGUAACCAAAUUGGAUUCACAUCUUAAAUCAUAUGAUAUUACAUACCAUCUGAAAUCCAGAUGUCUAACUUGAAAUUUUGCUUUAUGGACAAAACGAUUUUUUACUAUUGAACUUCUAAACAAAACCAACAAAUUCAGAUGUUUUAACUUUAAAGUAUUCAUGCUAAGUAUAUCUGGCUAAUCAAACAAGAACUCAUUUAUGACAAAAUGUGCUCAGUAUCAUAAACAUUUUAAUUGACUCCUCCUGAUCUCAACCCCCUUUACCAGUAAAGAUAAAGAAAUCCAAUCAUAUUUGAACAAACAAAAAGACAAAAACGGUCGGGUUUUGAUAUAAUUGAUGCAUAAACAAGACCAAAAGCACAGUACAAUAGUAAUUAAGGUUCAAGAAAACUUCAGAACUCAAUGGUAACAAGAGUCUGACAAAAAUGUUCAAAAUAUGGCUAAAGAAAAAAGAUAACACUCUGACUGAAAAUGGUGCAGAUAACAAAACAAACUCAAUUGUCACCCUCCUCUAUCUUUCCCUUGUCACUAACAUAAAUACCAUCAAGAAACUUUCGGAUAUCCUUGUUCUUCACAUGACAUUUCUACAUAUACAACAAAAUCACAAACACCAAACCAUUAUGAGAUGAUAAAAACAGAUAAAAAACGGAGAAGAUUGAUUAUUUGAUAUAAAAACUCCUAUGUGAGAAAGAAUACCUGGUUAAUUAGGGCACAUGAUCGAGAAACAAGUUCAAUGUCAUUUCCAUCAAGUAUCAAUUCAUCCUUGACCUUCUCGGAUCUGACCACAGUCACUCCAUCAAGCAUAUCCACCUUCCUCACCUGUUUGUAAACAAAAAAGAUAUAUUAACCAAACAAAUUCGAAAAAACAGAGAUAAACUAAGUUCGUAGUACUAUGAUAACCAAGACUUCUAGGUUAUAAGAUAGAAAUCUAGCGCAAAUGAUAUAACCAAUGUCAUAUGAUAACAUACAUAACAACGCAAAUGCUUAGUAUGUAAAGGUCAAAGAGAAAAAUUAACUCAAAACGAGAAAAUAUGCAUCUAAAAUCAAAUCGAACUGUGUGCAGAAGCUUAUGCAAAUAAUCGAUCAUAAUAUGUAAUGUCAAAAAAACAAUAAACAUGAUAACAAACAAAUAGAAUGGAAUACAUACCUUCUUUUCACCAAGAAAGUUACGGAUUUCAAUCGCAGAGUUGGUGUUGCUAAUGCUAGCGUUGAUUGGAAAGUGAGCGUACACAAAUCUCAUCUUGUAACGGAACCCCUGAGUAACACCGGUGAUUAGGUUGCCGACGUGACUAAGUGCAGUACGGAUGGCGGCGGUGGUCUUGCGAGAUCCGAAC